CGUGUGUCAAAAUUGAAGUCCCGAAAUACGAGUCACGUGACGUUCCUUUUCAACGUAAAUCAUCAUGGAACGUGCUGCUACCACCGCCAAAUUGGCCAAGGUCACCAAAGUCGUCGGACGUACCGGAUCACAAGGACAAUGUACACAGGUCCGUGUUGAGUUUCUGGACGACUCCAGCAGAUCAAUCGUUCGUAAUGUUAAAGGACCAGUAAGAGAGGGAGAUAUUCUUACCCUGCUUGAGUCCGAGAGAGAAGCCAGAAGGCUGCGAUAAAUUAAAAAACUUCCAGUUCCCCAAUCUGUACACGCAUACUUGUGUAAAAACUACUGAUGUUGCAACCACAAUGCCUCAAAACUCCUGUUAAUAUCGAAUUAGACACCCAUUCGAGCUUGAAAAUUGUACAAUGCUUAAUUCUCAAUGCUCUGUUUAUACAUAGAAAGCAUAGUCAUGUUUCUGGUGACCUGUACAUCAAUUCUGUCAAUGUGUGAAUACGUUAGAAUAGUUUGUCGUGUGUUGUGUGUAUACAGUGCAAGGGAGCUGGAAAUAAAAUUCGAUAUCAUG